ACUCGCUUGGUGAAAUGGUAGACACGACAGACUCAAAAUCUGUUCCUUAAGGGUAUCGGUUCGAGUCCGAUAGUGAGUA
rnacentral:tRNA from 1 species